UGGCCCACACUCUGUCUGUGGAGCGUGUUUCUCUCUAAAUAAAUCCACUUCUUACCUGUCAGUUUUUCUCUCACUGAAUUCUUUCCACAAUGAGACAUCAAGAACCUGAGCUUCAUUAAGUCCUGAAACCAGGUGUGUGAUCUCAGUUGGAGGACUGUGGGUUUUGGCUGGGUUCGAGUCACGGCCACGUGGGUUCAAGUCCCAAUCUGGGUUUUGGCCAGGUUGGAGUCCUGGCAUGUGGGUUCAAGUCCCAAUCUGAGGUGCACAGUUUCAACUAGCGACCACGAAGAAACAGUGAUAAGACCAACUCCCGUUCAUCGUCAACACUGUUGGGGACGUCUUCUGUGCCGUUUCUUUGUGACAUCUGGGGCUCUAACACCUGGUUGGGAGACUACCUUGGAAGCGAUAGUAUCUAAAAUUUAAUAGGGAUAUGGCCCAAAAGGCUGAACGCUCCCAGAGAAAUAUGCAAAAGGCCGAAUGACUGCAGUGGCUUUGUUCGUUCAGAGACCACCAAAGAGGAAGCCGGCUUUUCUGGACCAAUCCGGCCUUGGCAGACCACAAGGCCCACGGGUCCCCACACAAGGCCAGUGUACCCUGUGUGGACAAAAGGGGCACCGGAGGGAGGACUGAGAUCGAUGUGCCCAUUG